rnacentral:snRNA from 1 species
GUGAAGGCAAUCUGUCUACAACACCUGUCACCCCAAUCAUUGUCAGGUUUAAUCUGGUUGCCCUGGCUGGCUAAGGUGGACCCUUCUUCACCAUUGCACAUCCCUCCAGAAUUUGUGUACUUGUCAAAAAGGACACCCUUAUGGAAUAGAAAAGAAGUGUCCUUUGGUUAUGAGUAUACAUGUAACUGCAGUUCUCUGGUAGGAAUCUCCAAAUAAGUUCUGAAGGAACAAUAAAUUUGAAAAUAAUUAGUGAGACUCAAAUUCUAACAAGACAGCUAUAAUAGUGGACAUAAAACACAUGCACCAC